rnacentral:rRNA from 1 species
UACAUGGGAUGCAAGUGUUAUCCGGAAUUAUUGGGCGUAAAGCGUCUGCAGGUGGAUAAAUAAGUCCUUUGUUAAAUCUCUGGGCUCAACUCAGAAUCUGCAAAAGAAACUAUUUAUCUUGAGUAUGGUAGAGGUAAGGGGAAUUUCCAGUGGAGCGGUGAAAUGCGUAGAUAUGGGGAAGAACAACAACAGCGAAGGCACCUUACGGGGCCAGUACUGACACUCAGAGACGAAAGCUAGGGGAGCAAACGGG